GAUGAACGCUGGCGGCGUGCCUAAUACAUGCAAGUCGAGCGAACAGACGAGGAGCUUGCUCCUCUGACGUUAGCGGCGGACGGGUGAGUAACACGUGGAUAACCUACCUAUAAGACUGGGAUAACUUCGGGAAACCGGAGCUAAUACCGGAUAAUAUAUUGAACCGCAUGGUUCAAUAGUGAAAGACGGUUUUGCUGUCACUUAUAGAUGGAUCCGCGCCGCAUUAGCUAGUUGGUAAGGUAACGGCUUACCAAGGCAACGAUGCGUAGCCGACCUGAGAGGGUGAUCGGCCACACUGGAACUAGGACACGGUCCAGACACCUACGGGAGGCAGCAGUAGGGAAUCUUCCGCAAUGGGCGAAAGCCUGACGGAGCAACGCCGCAUGAGUGAUGAAGGUCUUCGGAUCGUAAAACUCUGUUAUUAGGGAAGAACAAAUGUGUAAGUAACUAUGCACGUCUUGACGGUACCUAAUCAGAAAGCCACGGCUAACUACGUG
rnacentral:rRNA from 1 species